rnacentral:rRNA from 1 species
GUUGUAUGGUUAAGUGACUAAGCGUACACGGUGGAUGCCUUGGCAGUCAGAGGCGAUGAAAGACGUAGUAACUUGCGAUAAGCCCAGAUUAGGUAGUAACAACCAUUUGAGUCUGGGAUUUCUGAAUGGGGAAACCCACGUGCAUAAGCACGUAUCCUUACCUGAAUACAUAGGGUAAGGAGGCGAACCGGGGGAACUGAAACAUCUAAGUACCCCGAGGAAAAGAAAUCAACCGAGAUUCCGAAAGUAGCGGCGAGCGAAAUUGGACUAGCCCUUAAGCUUUACACGCGUUAGACGAACGGUCUGGAAAGUCCGACGAUACAGGGUGAUAGUCCCGUAGUUGACGACGUGUGUUCAGUGAAAUCGAGUAGGGCGGGACACGUGAUAUCCUGUCUGAAUAUGGGGGGACCAUCCUCCAAGGCUAAAUACUACUGACUGACCGAUAGUGAACCAGUACCGUGAGGGAAAGGCGAAAAGAACCCCUGUGAGGGGAGUGAAAUAGAACCUGAAACCGUGUACGUACAAGCAGUAGGAGCAGGCUUGUCCUGUGACUGCGUACCUUUUGUAUAAUGGGUCAGCGACUUAUAUUCAGUGGCAAGGUUAACCAUCUAGGGGAGCCGUAGGGAAACCGAGUCUUAACUGGGCGUUCAGUCUCUGGAUAUAGACCCGAAACCAGGUGAUCUAGCCAUGGGCAGGUUGAAGGUUGAGUAACAUCAACUGGAGGACCGAACCGACUAAUGUUGAAAAAUUAGCGGAUGACUUGUGGCUAGGGGUGAAAGGCCAAUCAAACCUGGAGAUAGCUGGUUCUCCCCGAAAGCUAUUUAGGUAGCGCCUCGGACGAAUACUACUGGGGGUAGAGCACUGUUAAGGCUAGGGGGUCAUCCCGACUUACCAACCCUUUGCAAACUCCGAAUACCAGUAAGUACUAUCCGGGAGACACACGGCGGGUGCUAACGUCCGUCGUGGAGAGGGAAACAACCCAGACCGCCAGCUAAGGUCCCAAAUUACUACUAAGUGGGAAACGAUGUGGGAAGGCUCAGACAGCCAGGAUGUUGGCUUAGAAGCAGCCAUCAUUUAAAGAAAGCGUAAUAGCUCACUGGUCGAGUCGGCCUGCGCGGAAGAUGUAACGGGGCUAAGUAGUAAACCGAAGCUGCGGCAAUAUACUUUUGUAUAUUGGGUAGGGGAGCGUUCUGUAAGCGGUUGAAGGUGUGUGGUAACGCAUGCUGGACGUAUCAGAAGUGCGAAUGCUGACAUGAGUAACGAUAAAGGGGGUGAAAAACCUCCUCGCCGGAAGACCAAGGGUUCCUGUCCAACGUUAAUCGGGGCAGGGUAAGUCGACCCCUAAGGCGAGGCCGAAAGGCGUAGUCGAUGGGAAACGGGUUAAUAUUCCCGUACUUCUUACAAUUGCGAUGGGGGGACGGAGAAGGCUAGGUGGGCCUGGCGACGGUUGUCCAGGUUCAAGUGCGUAGGCUUAAGAGUUAGGUAAAUCCGGCUCUUUUUAAGGCUGAGACACGACGUCGAGCACCUACGGGUGUGAAGUCAUUGAUGCCAUGCUUCCAGGAAAAGCCUCUAAGCUUCAGAUUGUAAGGAAUCGUACCCCAAACCGACACAGGUGGUCGGGUAGAGAAUACCAAGGCGCUUGAGAGAACUCGGGUGAAGGAACUAGGCAAAAUGGUACCGUAACUUCGGGAGAAGGUACGCUCUCGACGGUGAAGUCCCUCGCGGAUGGAGCUAUUGAGAGUCGCAGAUACCAGGUGGCUGCAACUGUUUAUUAAAAACACAGCACUGUGCAAAAUCGUAAGAUGACGUAUACGGUGUGACGCCUGCCCGGUGCCGGAAGGUUAAUUGAUGGGGUUAGACUUCGGUCGAAGCUCUUGAUCGAAGCCCCGGUAAACGGCGGCCGUAACUAUAACGGUCCUAAGGUAGCGAAAUUCCUUGUCGGGUAAGUUCCGACCUGCACGAAUGGCGUAAUGAUGGCCACGCUGUCUCCACCCGAGACUCAGUGAAAUUGAAAUCGCUGUGAAGAUGCAGUGUACCCGCGGCUAGACGGAAAGACCCCGUGAACCUUUACUACAGCUUGGCACUGAACAUUGACCCUACAUGUGUAGGAUAGGUGGGAGGCUUUGAAGCACGUACGCCAGUAUGUGUGGAGCCGUCCUUGAAAUACCACCCUUGUAGUGUUGAUGUUCUAACGUCGACCCCUAAUCGGGGUUGCGGACAGUGCCUGGUGGGUAGUUUGACUGGGGCGGUCUCCUCCCAAAGAGUAACGGAGGAGCACGAAGGUGGGCUAAUCACGGUUGGACAUCGUGAGGUUAGUGCAAUGGCAUAAGCCCGCUUGACUGCGAGAAUGACAAUUCGAGCAGGUGCGAAAGCAGGUCAUAGUGAUCCGGUGGUUCUGAAUGGAAGGGCCAUCGCUCAACGGAUAAAAGGUACUCCGGGGAUAACAGGCUGAUACCGCCCAAGAGUUCAUAUCGACGGCGGUGUUUGGCACCUCGAUGUCGGCUCAUCACAUCCUGGGGCUGAAGUCGGUCCCAAGGGUAUGGCUGUUCGCCAUUUAAAGUGGUACGCGAGCUGGGUUUAGAACGUCGUGAGACAGUUCGGUCCCUAUCUGCCGUGGGCGUUGGAAGAUUGAAGGGGGCUGCUCCUAGUACGAGAGGACCGGAGUGGACGAACCUCUGGUGUUCGGGUUGUGUCGCCAGACGCAUUGCCCGGUAGCUAAGUUCGGAAUCGAUAACCGCUGAAAGCAUCUAAGCGGGAAGCGAGCCCUGAGAUGAGUCUUCCCUGAUACUUUAAGUAUCCUAAAGGGUUGUCGGAGACUACGACGUUGAUAGGUCAGGUGUGUAAGUGCUGUGAGGCAUUGAGCUAACUGAUACUAAUUGCCCGUGAGGCUUAACCAUACAACACCCAAGGGGUUU